rnacentral:rRNA from 1 species
GGCUUCGGCCGGGCUAGUAAAGUGGCGCACGGGUGCAGUAACGCGUAGGUAACCUGCCCCUGUGUUCGGGAUAACAGUGCGAAAGCGCUGCUAAUACCGGAUACGGCCUUUGAGCGGCGGCUCAAAGGUCAAAGUCGGCCUCUCGAUGAAGCCGGCGCGCGGGGAUGGGCCUGCGUCCUAUCAGCUUGUUGGUAGGGUAACGGCCUACCAAGGCUUCGACGGGUAGCUGGUCUGAGAGGAUGAUCAGCCACACUGGCACUGAAACACGGGCCAGACUCCUACGGGAGGCAGCAGUGAGGAAUUUUGCGCAAUGGCCGCAAGGCUGACGCAGCAACGCCGCGUGGGUGAAGAAGGCCUUCGGGUCGUAAAGCCCUGUCAGGUGGGAAGAAUGUCCGUGGGGUGAAUAACCUUUCGGAGUGACGGUACCACCAGAGGAAGCACCGGCUAACUCCGUGCCAGCAGCCGCGGUAA